rnacentral:rRNA from 1 species
UACGUAGGUGGCAAGCGUUGUCCGGAUUUAUUGGGUUUAAAGGGUGCGUAGGCGGCUUUGUAAGUCAGUGGUGAAAUAUGGCAGCUCAACUGUCAAGGUGCCAUUGAUACUGCGGAGCUUGAGUACAGAUGAGGUAGGCGGAAUUGACGGUGUAGCGGUGAAAUGCUUAGAUAUCGUCAAGAACACCUAUAGCGAAGGCAGCUUACUAGGCUGUAACUGACGCUGAGGCACGAAAGUGUGGG